rnacentral:rRNA from 1 species
UGGGGAAUCUUAGACAAUGGGGGAAACCCUGAUCUAGCCAUGCCGCGUGAGUGACGAAGGCCUUAGGGUCGUAAAGCUCUUUCGCCAGGGAAGAUAAUGACGGUACCGAGUAAAGAAGCCCCGGCUAAUUUCGUGCCAGCAGCCGCGGUAAUACGAAAGGGGCUAGCGUUGUUCGGAAUUACUGGGCGUAAAGCGCGCGUAGGCGGCAUGCCGAGUUGGGGGUGAAAUCCCGGGGCUCAACCCCGGAACUGCCUCCAAAACUGGCAAGCUAGAGGAUGUGAGAGGAUAGUGGAAUUCCGAGUGUAGAGGUGAAAUUCGUAGAUAUUCGGAAGAACACCAGUGGCGAAGGCGACUGUCUGGCACAUUUCUGACGCUGAGGUGCGAAAGCGUGGGGAGCAAACAGGAUUAGAUACCCGUGUAGUCC